rnacentral:rRNA from 1 species
CCUACGGGGCGCAGCAGUGGGGAAUAUUGCACAAUGGGCGCAAGCCUGAUGCAGCCAUGCCGCGUGUGUGAAGAAGGCCUUCGGGUUGUAAAGCACUUUCAGCGGGGAGGAAGGCGGUGAGGUUAAUAACCUCAUCGAUUGACGUUACCCGCAGAAGAAGCCCCGGCUAACUCCGUGCCAGCAGCCGCGGUAAUACGGAGGGUGCAAGCGUUAAUCGGAAUUACUGGGCGUAAAGCGCACGCAGGCGGUCUGUCAAGUCGGAUGUGAAAUCCCCGGGCUCAACCUGGGAACGGCAUUCGAAACUGGCAGGCUAGAGUCGUGUAGAGGGGGGUAGAAUUCCAGGUGUAGCGGUGAAAUGCGUAGAGAUCUGGAGGAAUACCGGUGGCGAAGGCGGCCCCCUGGACAAAGACUGACGCUCAGGUGCGAAAGCGUGGGGAGCAAGCAGGAUUAGAUACCCCAGUAGUC